rnacentral:rRNA from 1 species
UACGUAGGGUGCGAGCGUUGUCCGGAAUUACUGGGCGUAAAGAGCUCGUAGGUGGUUUGUCGCGUUGUUCGUGAAAACUCACAGCUUAACUGUGGGCGUGCGGGCGAGUACGGCAGACUGGAGUACUGCAGGGGAGACUGGAAUUCCUGGUGUAGCGGUGGAAUGCGCAGAUAUCAGGAGGAACACCGGUGGCGAAGGCGGGUCUCUGGGCAGUAACUGACGCUGAGGAGCGAAAGCGUGGGGAGCGAACAGG